rnacentral:rRNA from 1 species
GGGUUGUGAGGUUAAGCGACUAAGCGUACACGGUGGAUGCCCUGGCAGUCAGAGGCGAUGAAGGACGUGCUAAUCUGCGAUAAGCGUCGGUAAGGUGAUAUGAACCGUUAUAACCGGCGAUUUCCGAAUGGGGAAACCCAGUGUGUUUCGACACACUAUCAUUAACUGAAUCCAUAGGUUAAUGAGGCGAACCGGGGGAACUGAAACAUCUAAGUACCCCGAGGAAAAGAAAUCAACCGAGAUUCCCCCAGUAGCGGCGAGCGAACGGGGAGCAGCCCAGAGCCUGAAUCAGUGUGUGUGUUAGUGGAAGCGUCUGGAAAGGCGCGCGAUACAGGGUGACAGCCCCGUACACAAAAAUGCACAUACUGUGAGCUCGAUGAGUAGGGCGGGACACGUGGUAUCCUGUCUGAAUAUGGGGGGACCAUCCUCCAAGGCUAAAUACUCCUGACUGACCGAUAGUGAACCAGUACCGUGAGGGAAAGGCGAAAAGAACCCCGGCGAGGGGAGUGAAAAAGAACCUGAAACCGUGUACGUACAAGCAGUGGGAGCACGCUUCGGCGUGUGACUGCGUACCUUUUGUAUAAUGGGUCAGCGACUUAUAUUCUGUAGCAAGGUUAACCGAAUAGGGGAGCCGAAGGGAAACCGAGUCUUAACUGGGCGUUAAGUUGCAGGGUAUAGACCCGAAACCCGGUGAUCUAGCCAUGGGCAGGUUGAAGGUUGGGUAACACUAACUGGAGGACCGAACCGACUAAUGUUGAAAAAUUAGCGGAUGACUUGUGGCUGGGGGUGAAAGGCCAAUCAAACCGGGAGAUAGCUGGUUCUCCCCGAAAGCUAUUUAGGUAGCGCCUCGUGAAUUCAUCUCCGGGGGUAGAGCACUGUUUCGGCAAGGGGGUCAUCCCGACUUACCAACCCGAUGCAAACUGCGAAUACCGGAGAAUGUUAUCACGGGAGACACACGGCGGGUGCUAACGUCCGUCGUGAAGAGGGAAACAACCCAGACCGCCAGCUAAGGUCCCAAAGUCAUGGUUAAGUGGGAAACGAUGUGGGAAGGCCCAGACAGCCAGGAUGUUGGCUUAGAAGCAGCCAUCAUUUAAAGAAAGCGUAAUAGCUCACUGGUCGAGUCGGCCUGCGCGGAAGAUGUAACGGGGCUAAACCAUGCACCGAAGCUGCGGCAGCGACACUAUGUGUUGUUGGGUAGGGGAGCGUUCUGUAAGCCUGUGAAGGUGUGCUGUGAGGCAUGCUGGAGGUAUCAGAAGUGCGAAUGCUGACAUAAGUAACGAUAAAGCGGGUGAAAAGCCCGCUCGCCGGAAGACCAAGGGUUCCUGUCCAACGUUAAUCGGGGCAGGGUGAGUCGACCCCUAAGGCGAGGCCGAAAGGCGUAGUCGAUGGGAAACAGGUUAAUAUUCCUGUACUUGGUGUUACUGCGAAGGGGGGACGGAGAAGGCUAUGU